rnacentral:rRNA from 1 species
AUUGAACGCUGGCGGCAUGCUUUACACAUGCAAGUCGAACGGCAGCACGGACUUCGGUCUGGUGGCGAGUGGCGAACGGGUGAGUAAUACAUCGGAACGUGCCCAGUUGUGGGGGAUAACUACUCGAAAGAGUAGCUAAUACCGCAUGAGAACUGAGGUUGAAAGCAGGGGAUCGUAAGACCUUGCGCAACUGGAGCGGCCGAUGGCAGAUUAGGUAGUUGGUGGGAUAAAAGCUUACCAAGCCGACGAUCUGUAGCUGGUCUGAGAGGACGACCAGCCACACUGGGACUGAGACACGGCCCAGACUCCUACGGGAGGCAGCAGUGGGGAAUUUUGGACAAUGGGCGAAAGCCUGAUCCAGCAAUGCCGCGUGCAGGAUGAAGGCCUUCGGGUUGUAAACUGCUUUUGUACGGAACGAAAAGCUUCGGGCUAAUACCCUGGAGUCAUGACGGUACCGUAAGAAUAAGCACCGGCUAACUACGUGCCAGCAGCCGCCGUAAUAC